CAUUCUUGAAAGGGCUAAAAGUAGCAUUCGCUUUGUUUAUGGAAAGAAAAGAGAAGAUCUUCGAAUAUUUUAUCCACUAGGUGAACUUGUUAUGUUUUCCAAUCGCGUUUGAAAUCUCUGACAUAUAUGCUUUCACUCAAGGAGGUGGGAACAACAUUGGACAAAUAUGGCCGUGUUGUACCUCACUCUCGUCUUCAAUGGAUUUGAUCUUUCUUUUUUGGGAGCGUAUGUAACCACUAGUAGUCUUGUGGUUUAGAAGCUGUCAAACUGCUACUAGUGGAAGUUAAUAGUGUGAAAUAAACAGUUAAGAGAACCCUCAGGGGUUGGCCU
rnacentral:lncRNA from 1 species